rnacentral:rRNA from 1 species
UACGGAGGGUGCAAGCGUUAUCCGGAUUCACUGGGUUUAAAGGGUGCGUAGGUGGCUUUGUAAGUCAGUGGUGAAAUCUCGGAGCUUAACUCCGAAACUGCCAUUGAUACUGCUUAGCUUGAAUCAGGUAGAGGUGGAUGGAAUAUUACAUGUAGCGGUGAAAUGCUUAGAUAUGUGAUAGAACACCGAUUGCGAAGGCAGUCCACUAUGCUAGCAUUGACGCUGAUGCACGAAAGCGUGGGGAGCAAACAGG